rnacentral:rRNA from 1 species
AUUGAACGCUGGCGGCAGGCCUAAUACAUGCAAGUCGAACGAGUGGCGGACGGGUGAGUCAUGUCUGGGAAACUGCCUGAUGGAGGGGGCUAACUACUGGAAACGGUAGCUAAUACCGCAUACCAUCAGAUGUGCCCAGAUGGGAUUAGCUAGUUGGUGGGGUAACGGCUCACCAAGGCGACGAUCCCUACCUGGUCUGAGAGGAUGACCAGCCACACUGGAACUGAGACACGGUCCAGACUCCUACGGGAGGCAGCAGUAGGGAAUAGUGCACAAUGGGCGCAAGCCUGAUGCAGCCAUGCCGCGUGUAUGAAGAAGGCCUUCGGGUUGUAAAGUACUUUCAGCGGGGAAGCGGUACCCGAAGAAGAAGCACCGGCUAACUCCGUGCCAGCAGCCGCGGUAAUUC